GCCUGGGUGGCUCAGUCGGCUGAGCGUCCGACUUCGGUGCGGGUCGUGAUCUCGCAGUCCUGUGAGUUCGAGUCCCAUGUCAGGCU
rnacentral:tRNA from 1 species